GAUUUCUGGCUGACCGUCCUGGCCCGCCUCUUUUUGGGGGUGAGUGCCGGUACGAGUUUGCCAUCCUUCUAGAAAGCUGCGCCUACCGUUCAUUCGUGCGGGCGUAUGCGGUCUAGAUCUUUUACUUUGAAAAAAUUAGAGUGUUUCAAGCAGGCUUAAUGCUAUGAAUACAUUAGCAUGGAAUAAUAAUUUAGGACUUCGGUUCUAUUUUGUUGGUUUCUAGGACUGAAGUAAUGAUUGAUAGGGAUAGUUGGGGGUGCUAGUAUUCAGCGGCCAGAGGUGAAAUUCUCGGAUUCGCUGAAGACUAACUUAUGCGAAAGCAUU
rnacentral:rRNA from 1 species